rnacentral:rRNA from 1 species
CCUACGGGAGGCAGCAGUGGGGAAUAUUGCACAAUGGGGGAAACCCUGAUGCAGCGACGCCGCGUGAGUGAAGAAGUAUUUCGGUAUGUAAAGCUCUAUCAGCAGGAACGAGACAAGACGGUACCUGACUAAGAAGCCCCGGCUAACUACGUGCCAGCAGCCGCGGUAAUAAGUAGGGGGCAAGCGUUAUCCGGAAUCACUGGGUGUAAAGGGAGCGUAGACGGCUGAGCAAGCCUGAAGUGAAAGGCGGGGGCCCAACCCCUGGACUGCUUUGGGAACUGUACGGCUGGAGUGCAGGAGAGGUAAGUGGAAUUCCUAGUGUAGCGGUGAAAUGCGUAGAUAUUAGGAGGAACACCAGUGGCGAAGGCGGCUUACUGGACUGUAACUGACGUUGAGGCUCGAAAGCGUGGGGAGCAAACAGGAUUAGAUACCCCAGUAGUC